rnacentral:rRNA from 1 species
UCUACGGGUGGCAGCAGUGAGGAAUAUUGGUCAAUGGACGAGAGUCUGAACCAGCCAAGUAGCGUGAAGGAUGACUGCCCUAUGGGUUGUAAACUUCUUUUAUAUGGGAAUAAAAUGUUCCACGUGUGGGAUUUUGUAUGUACCAUAUGAAUAAGGAUCGGCUACCUCCGUGCCAGCAGCCGCGGUAAUACGGAGGAUCCGAGCGUUAUCCGGAUUUUUUGGGUUUAAAGGGAGCGUAGGUGGAUGAUGAAGUCAGUUUUGAAAGUCUAGGGCGCAACCUUGGAACUGCAGUUGAAACUGGGUGUCAUGAGUGCAGUAGAGGUGAGCGGAAUUCGUGGUGUAGCGGUGAAAUGCGUAGAUAUCACGAAGAACUCUGAUGGCGAAGGCAGCUCACUGGACUGUAACUGACAUUGAGGCUCGAAAGCGUGGGGAGCAAACAGGAUUAGAUACCCUUGUAGUC